rnacentral:rRNA from 1 species
UACGUAGGAUGCAAGCGUUGUCCGGAAUUAUUGGGCGUAAAGAGCGCGCAGGCGGUCACUCAAGUCAGAUGUGAAAUAUCCGGGCUUAACCCGGAGGGGUCAUUUGAAACUGAGUAACUAGAGUACAGCAGAGGAUAGCGGAAUUCCCGGUGUAGUGGUGAAAUGCGUAGAUAUCGGGAGGAACACCAGUGGCGAAGGCGGCUAUCUGGGCUGAAACUGACGCUGAGACGCGAAGGCUAGGGGAGCAAACAGG